rnacentral:rRNA from 1 species
CAAGUUUUACCUUCCGGGGCUCUCUGGUGAUUCAUGAUAACUUCUCGAAUCGCAUGGCCUUGCGCCGGCGAUGGUUCAUUCAAAUUUCUUCCCUAUCAACUUUCGAUGUUUGGGUAGUGGCCAAACAUGGUUGCAACGGGUAACGGAGGGUUAGGGCUCGACCCCGGAGAAGGAGCCUGAGAAACGGCUACUACAUCCAAGGAAGGCAGCAGGCGCGCAAAUUACCCAAUCCCGACACGGGGAGGUAGUGACAAUAAAUACUGAUACAGGGCUCUUUUGGGUCUUGUAAUUGGAAUGAGUACAAUUUAAAUCCCUUAACGAGGAACAAUUGGAGGGCAAGUCUGGUGCCAGCAGCCGCGGUAAUUCCAGCUCCAAUAGCGUAUAUUAAAGUUGUUGUGGUUAAAAAGCUCGUAGUUGAACCUUGGGCCUGGCUGGCCGGUCCGCCUCACCGCGUGCACUGGUCCGGCCGGGCCUUCCCUCUGUGGAACCCACCAAGCCCCUUGAAUGGUUG